CGGCGGCCCAGCGGAGGCAGCGCCGCGGGAUGGAGCCGGCCCGGGAGGCGGAGGAGCCCCCCGGGUCCCCGGCGCUGCCCGCCGAGGAGCCGCAGGGAGGCCACCCCGCCGGGGCGCCGCCGGCAGAUGGGCCCCUGCCGUCCGCUGCCUGCCGGGGGCGGUGUCGCCGCGGUGCCGGCCAGAAAGGCCCACCCGGGCGGGCGGUGCGGGGCAGGGGGCGGCGGGCCCCGGGCCGGCGCGGAGGGGAGGAGGGGGGCCGAGCCGCCCGGCGGCCCCGCGUCACGGUGGACAGCUCCAAGGCCAAGACCUCGCUGGAGGCGCUGAAGAUCAGCCUACGGCAGCUCCACUGGAGGGAGUAUCCUUUUGGCAGACGCUUGCCGUGUGAUAUCUAUUGGCAUGGGGUAUCAUUUCAUGACAAUAAUAUAUUCUCAGGUCAAGUCAACAAGUUUCCAGGUAUGACAGAGAUGGUACGAAAAGUUACCCUGAGUCGGGCAGUGAGAACUAUGCAGGAUCUAUUUCCUCUUGAAUAUAACUUCUAUCCUCGAUCCUGGAUUCUGCCAGAAGAACUUCCCCUCUUUGUGGAUGAGGUUCGUAUGAUGAAAGACAGCGAUCCAUCCUGGAAGCCCACUUUUAUUGUGAAACCUGAUGGAGGGUGCCAGGGAGAUGGAAUCUACCUCAUUAAAGACCCAAGUGAUAUCAGGCAGACAGGGAGCAUCCAGAGCCGGCCAGCUGUGGUCCAGGAGUACAUCUGCAAACCACUGCUCAUUGACAAACUGAAGUUUGAUAUCCGUCUUUAUGUCUUAUUGAAAUCUUUAGAACCCUUAGAGAUUUACAUAGCCAAAGAUGGACUUUCUAGAUUCUGUACAGAGCCCUACCAAGAACCCACACUAAAAAAUUUGCACCAGGUUUUUAUGCAUUUAACCAACUACUCGCUAAAUAUCCAUAGCGGGAAUUUCAUCCAUUCUGACAAUGUGAACACUGGCAGCAAGAGGACUUUUUCCAGCAUUCUAUGCAGGCUGUCUUCCAGAGGAGCUGAUGUCAAAAAGCUGUGGUCAGAUAUAAUUUCACUGGUGAUUAAAACAAUUAUUGCACUGACACCAGAACUGAAAGUUUACUAUCAGUCUGACAUACCAGCAGGAAAGCCCGGGCCAACUUGCUUCCAGAUUUUAGGGUUUGACAUUCUCCUGAUGAAAAACUUGAAGCCAAUGUUACUUGAAGUAAAUGCAAACCCCAGCAUGAGAAUAGAACAUGAGCAAGAGCUUUCUCCUGGAGUCUUUGAAAACGUCCCAAGCCCUGUUGAUGAAGAAGUGAAAGUAGCUGUUAUCAGAGACACUCUUCGUCUGGUGGACCCUCAGAAUAAAAAGAGAAAAGAUAUCCAAUCUGGAGCCUUGCCUUGCCUGAGCAACUGUCUGUGCUGCCUGUUCCCCGGCCAUCAGGGCAGUGACCUGUGCCAGGAUGGACCCAGUCAACGGCUGCGGAACAAGUGUCAGACUUCAGAGCACGUGUCAGAAGCCAACGAAGACCUGUUGGACAUAGGACCAGCAGACGGCCCGGAACAUGAGACCACCAGAACUCUGGAGCCUGAGCUCCCCUCCCUCUGUCUCAAGCAAGUGUUUCCCAAGUACGCCAAGCAGUUUAACUACCUACGGCUUGUGGACAGAGUGGCUGCGUUGUUUAUCCGAUUUCUUGGUGUGAAAGGGACAACAAAGUUGGGGCCAACAGGUUUCCGGACAUUCAUAAGAAACUGCAAACUGAGUAACAGCAAUUUUUCAAUGGCUUGUGUGGAUAUCUUAUAUAUUGAUAUCACAAGAAGGAGGAACGGCAUGGGAAUUGACCACAGAGAAUCAGGAAUGUGUUUGCAAGCCUUUGUGGAAGCUUUCUUCUGUCUGGCUCAGAAGAAAUACAAGUCCCUCCCACUCCACCAGCAAGUGACACUGCUGAUUGAUUUCUGUGAGUAUCAGCUCGCUGUCCUGGAUGAAAAGCGCCGAGCUGUUUGUCACGCAGAUGGACCUCACCUCACACCAGCUGCACAUCCAUCCCUCCUGGGUCGCUCGGCCUCAGCUAGUAAACUUUCAGAUUAUAGGAAUCAUCGUUAGUAACAGUGCUAAUUCACCAGCACAGAACUGAGAUUUAAUCCCCAGGUACGUGCAUGUACUGCAGGAGGAGAGACCCCGACUCCUGAAUCCCUUCAGCUGAUAGGCAUAGUUAUUUAUUUCAGCUUUUCUUAUUUAUGCUCUUCAAAAAGCCUCCUGCAAGCUCCCAUUCUCAAAUAACAACCCUGGCAAUGGCUGUUUGUUUACAGCUCUGCUGGACCUGCAGCACACCUCAUGUGGCAAGCUGUGCUUUCAUCCCAAGUAUAUAGAAAACCACGUGUGAAGACAAGGACCAAAAUACAGCAGGAUAAUAACCAGCAUCACGAAGUUGCAGUGACUGAGAGGUACCCUUAUGUCAAAGGAAUUACACUGCUCUGUAUGCACUGGAUGUAUUAUGGAAACCAAGUAAGGAGCUGCAGUCUCAAAUACCAGUUGCAGACUUUGGGAAACUGAAACCUGGAGUUAGGUUUGUGGUCAGACUUCAGGCUUUGACUCUCUUCUUUCGGUCACUUGGACUGUACGUGUUGGAAUCAAUACAGAUUUGGUCAUUGACUUUGUACUUCUUUUCUAAAGUCAGUCUUAAAACACUGAAAUGAUAUUUUGGCUUCUACUCUUUGUACAUGUCUCUGCCAUGACAAGUACUGUUAAUUUUUUAAAGAAAAACUAAAGAUAUUUAUCCUUUUGCUUCCAUAGAACUGAUAAGCUCACACUUAGAGGAAAAAUGUACUUCAUUAAGUCAGAUUCAGUGAAUCAGCCCGUGGUUUUGUCUUCAGGUACUAAGCACUGCUUCUGCAAAUAGCUUUACGGUGUAAAGAGUUCAUUUAAAUUCCAGUUGAAACCAAUCCUGUCACUGACUUUAGGCUGAGCUAUUGUAUUCUAGGUUUGCUGAUUCUUUGCCUUUUGCAUGUUUGUUGCCCUCUCUGGACCUGCAGUAACAUCUAGAGCAGAUUUUUCUUUUGUCUUUGCACAUAUUCUUCAUUUUUUCCCCUUAAAUAACUGUAUAGUUCUGUAAAAAUGAGAUCUGUAUUAUUUAACAGGCUAUUUUGUCAGGAAUGCUGGGCUAUACCACUGCAGUUGUACAGAAGUAGUCUUUAUUUUUCAAGGAGGGAGCCAUGACACCGAUAAUCACACUCUUUUGGGAGGAGGCUGAGCACAGUGUUACACUGGCUAGAAGGACAGGAAUAACUUGGAACUUCAGUCAAAUCCUUUUCAGUCUCGUAUUUUAUUACAAGAAUGUAUGUCUAUAUCUGAGUUUGAUUUUCCUCCUUUAUUCUUUAAUGUUAAUGAGUCUGCUUAUGUUCCAGUGUCCCUCAUGCUGUCAGGAAUCACAAACAGCACAGGCAUUUAGCUUUGGAUUGGAGAAAGUUACCUGAGCUCGAGGUCACAGUGUGCCGAUGGCUGCUGUGUCAGAGGAGUGACGUUGCAGGAAGCACACUGCCAGUGUGAGGAAGCCCACCCACUUAAUGCCAUGGACUAAAUGCACACACCGUAUCGAAGAAUACAGCAGCACUCACUAUGCUAUUCAAGACAUAUGAUAUGGACAGUGCACACCUGUGCAGUCUUUCUCGUUAUCAGACACACUGGACCUGGUAUUCCUCUGGGUAUAAUUCAGAGUAAAACACUUCAUCAUCUAAGGAAGAUUUGAGGCAAGUGAGUGCAGAAUUGCAAUCCAGACACCCCCCUUCCCUGCAGGCUUGUAUCCAGCCUAAGUGUGCUCGGACUCACUGGGUGAUUCCUUGUUUGGUUUUUCUUUCUCUGCAUAAGGUUGUUGUAGGCUAAAACAGCUGAAAUUUAUCUUCUGCCUCAUCUGGACUGGGCUCUUGACAUUUAACUGCCCUCUGCCCAACUCUCCCUAAUACAGCUACGUAUCUUGGGAAUAUUUAAUGUGCACAAGCAGAUCACUUCACUUGCCACAUACUUGUAGCUGCUUUCUUUUCAUUUAAAACACAGCUGGAAAGGGAGGGCCUCAGCUAAUUGCACAGAUUAUGCUCAGUCUUGUGUUCAGCUCACUGCUGGGAGGUCAAAGCCUGCUUGGAAACUCCUCAUGAUGAAGAAGGAUUUAGUUCUCCUGCUGGCUGAGUCUCCUUCAGUUCACUGCACAGGCAGGGACACAAACGGGCUUUGCCCGUGCAAUGUGAGCUGAAUUCCUGUCAGCAUCCUGAGGAAAAUGGAGGUCCUGUGAUCCUUACUGGAACAUGAAGCACCAAGCAAAGCUCUGAGGGCCUCAGGACAUGAUCCUUCCAUAAACUGAAUUAUGGGCACGAUCCUUCCACAAAGUGCCACCCCCCUCAUCCUCCGUGUCACCUCCCAAGCGCCGCGGUUGGAACCACUGUAUGAAUGUGACUGCUGUGACAAUAAACCAGUAACUCCUGAA